CAUUAGGUGGAGGACUUGGCUCAAGACGCUGAUGAAGGGCGUGUCAAGCUACGAAAUGUUCCGGCGAGGUGCAUGAAGCCUUUGAACCGGAAAUUCCUGAAUGGGACUUCCUGACAUUAGUCAUCCUGAGAAGGAGAGGAACCUAGGGAAUUGAAGCGUCUUAGUACCUAGAGGAAAAGAAAUCAAUAGAGAUGCCGUGAGUAAGGGCGACUGAAAACGGCACAGAGCAAACCGAAUCUUUUACAGAAAUGUAAAAGAGAUGUGGGGUUGUAGGACUUUCUUUUAACCUUAACUUGAAAACUUGAAGUCUUCUGGAACGAAGUGCCAUAGAGGGUGAUAGCCCCGUAAGGUGAUCAAGAAAGGUGUGAAAGUAUCCUGAGUAGUGCAUCUUGGAUAUGAUGUAUGAAGCUGGGAGGCAUCAACUUCCAACUCUAAAUACGUCUUGAGUCCGAUAGCGAACAGUACCGUGAGGGAAUGUUGAAAAGAACUCUUGCCAGAGAGUUAAAAGACCCCUAAACCUAAUGGUGAUAGAGUGAUACGGCUUUUCGGAGUUGUAUCGUACGUUUCGAAUAAUGGGCCAGGGAGUGUAUCUAAGUGGCGAGGGUAAGAGUGUAUAGCUCGCACCCACAGGGAAACCGAGACUCCGCAGUUUACGAGGGAGGAGGUAUGAAAGUGCCAAUAGUCACUUGGGUACGACCCGAAACCGGUCGAUCUAGUCCUGGGUAAGAUGAAGCGAAGCAUAAGCUUCGUGGAGGUCUGAAGAGUUGCUGUGGGCAUACGUUCUUCUAACCUGGGACUAGGGGUGAAAAGCCAAUCGAGAUCGGUAAUAGCUGGUUCCUACCGAAUCGGGCCGUAGUCCGGUCUCCGCGGAGAUAACUGAGAAGGUAGAGCUACGGAUUGGGGAGCUCGGGGGAGAAAUCCUUCACUUCCUUGUCCAACUCCAAAUGUCUUAGUAUCGUAGAUGCGGGGAAACAGCGGCACUGGGGUAAGCUUGUGUCGCGAGAGGGGAACAACCCAAACUACAGUUAAGGUCCCAAAGUAUUAGUUAAGUGUUAAAGGGUGAACGGUGUUCAACACCAUAGACAGCGGGGAGGUUUGCUUAGAAGCAGCAAUCCUUUAAAGAAAGCGUAACAGCUCACCUGUCAAGGUCUUGUGCCCGGAAAAUGGACGGGGCUAAACUAAUCACCGAUACUGUAGGCUGCUUUCCUUUGGAAAGUAUGCGGUAGGUAGGCGUUCUGUUAGGGUAGAAGUAUGAGCGUAAGUUCAUAUGGACCUUGCAGAAAUGAGAAUCCUGGCGGUAGUAGGAUCUAUAUAGAGUGAGACUCUCUAAUGCCGGAAGGGCUAGGGUUUCUUAGCAAUGUAGAUCAGCUAAGAGUAAGUUAGUCCUAACCAAAAUCGUAACUCGAUUUAGGGAAAGGGAAAAAGGUUAAGAUUCCUUUACUAUCUAAGUACGUGCGGCAACGCAAGGCAUAUUGUUGACGCAUCCGGCUAGGCCGACAUUGAUCGUCGUCAAUGUUAACCAAGAUAGGUCUGUGGAGUAUCGUAAUGAUGAGAAACAGAGCAAACUUGGGAAUAGCAGGCAUUUGUCUGUUCGGCUGAGGCCAGGUGCCCGUGAAAAGACAAUAUGCAAGGAUCUUAGAUAACUAUACCAAGAACCAGCACUGGUGCCCCUAGGUGAGGAGCCUAAGGCAUGAGGGAACAAACUGGCUUAGGGAAAUCGACAGAUUGGCCCCGUCUCUUCGGUAGAAGGGGUCCCUGCGAUCGUAUCUGCAUAGGUGCGAUUACAGGGUGCAAUAACUAGGGCGGUCCGACUGUUUAACAAAAACUUAACAUCUCGCUAGCCUGCAAAGGUGUGUAUGGGAUGUGACAUCUGCCCAGUGCCUGUACUUCAAACUCCAGUCCAAUGGAGCUAAGAGCAGGUAAACGGCGGGAAUAACUAUAAUUCUCUUAAGGUAGCUAAAUGCCUUGUCGUUUAAAUGACGACCUGCAUGAAUGGUGUAACGAGAUCGCUAUUGUCCCAAGCUAGUGUCCCCCGAACACAACAUUCUGGUGCAAAGUCCAGAGAUCUCCAGUGGGAAGCGAAGACCCCGUAGAACUUUACUGUAGCUUGUUGUUGUGGUGUGAGUUUGGUUGUGCAGCGUAGGUAGGAGUUGCUAAAGCUUGGGCGCUAGCUCAAGUGUAGACGCCGAUGAGACACUACCCUUCUGAAUUUACAUCACUCACUUUGCGUAGGCAAAGGACAGCAGUAGGUGGACAGUUUGCCUGGGGCGGGACCCUGCUGAAAAGGUAUCAGUAGGGCCCAAAGGUUGACUCAUCCGGUUUAGAAAUCCGGAGGAGAGUGCAAGAGCAAAAGUCAGCCUGACUGUGUUCCCAAAAGUACGGAACGCAGGGACGAAAGUCGGGUCUAGCGAACCUCUAAAUCCUCAUUGAUGGGGGUUAGAGAUGACAGAAAAGCUAUCUCGGGGAUAACUGAGUUGUCGCGCCUAAGAGCUCAUAUCGACGGCGCGGCUUGCUACUUCGAUGUCGGCUCAUCCUAUCCUGGGCGUGCAGAAGCGCCCAAGGGUGGGGGUGUUCACCCAUUAAAAGGGUUCGUGAGCUGGGUUAAGAACGUUGUGAGACAGUUUGUAUGAUAUCUACUGGAGAUGUUUAAGAUCUGAGAGGAAGGACCAUUUAGUACGAGAGGAACGGUGGUUCGAGGCCACUGGUCUAUCGGUUGUCCGGCAGGGCAGGCCGAGCAGCUACGCCUUACGUCAUUAGGGCUGAAAGCAUCUAAGCCCGAAGGACCCCUCGAAAAGAGAUCUAGAGCACCUGUAUAAGACAGGUUUGAUGGGACUGGAGUGUAAGUGC
rnacentral:rRNA from 1 species